UGGCAUAUUAUGGUGUAAGAUUUAGGUGGGAAGCAAUCUCAAUCUUCCAUUCUCUAUUUGGGACGCGGGAUCCGAAACAAAGUGGAAAGACACGGGAUCCAUACAAUCCAUAUGACCCGGGUAUUUGAAUGCUCAAAAACCCUAAAUCUACACCUUUUCACCGCCACUUCAGUCUUCUCCUUCACGCUAUGAUAAACCCUAGCCACCUCUCCUUCAUCGCUCAAUUGGAGAAGCAAUCUCUUCUCUUCACCGAUUCAAUAACCAGGUUCAUGAAGCGGUUUUUGAUCUUCCAGUAGAGAUUGCCAAAAUCAGAAGAACAAUCGAAAAAAUUAAAGAAGUUGGGAUUUAUAGGUUAGACACACAUCAAGGAUGCAGCAGAUCGCUAUGGAUGUCAGUUGUGUGGAUCCAACAUAUCGCUAUGGAAGCAAACAUUGUGGUUCUUCUCUAAGCCAUGCUCUUUAGGUAAAAAGAUCAGCAUUAUUCGAUGGUAGAUGAUCCAGAAGACAGUGAUAGCGAAGAUGAUAAAGAUGAACAAACCGGUUAGACUGAAAUCGAAAUUCGCCUCUUUGUUUUUCAUUCUAUCGCAUCAGGUACCUUCAAUAUUCAGCGAGAAGUCAUUCUUUUUGUUUAUUUGGAUUAUUAAUUGUUGUUUCUAAUUCUUAAAGAAAUUUUCUGCUUGCAACAAAACAAUCGAAAGACCUUUUGUCCUAUAUGCAAUCGGUCACAAAGGUUGUCCAUUCGAUUUCGAGUGAUUAUGUUAUUUGGUUUCAAAUUUGAUGAUGAGGAAUUAUGGGUUUUCUUUCAGUGUCGUCUAAAGAGGUCUCGAAACCAUAAUUCGAUAGUUCUUCCUUAAUUGUCAACUGUUGACUAACGAUUUGAUGCUACUUGUGAAAGAAAGUUGUGAGUGUAAGUUAAAUAUGAUAA